CCUACGGGUGGCAGCAGUGGGGAAUAUUGCACAAUGGGCGCAAGCCUGAUGCAGCCAUGCCGCGUGUAUGAAGAAGGCCUUAGGGUUGUAAAGUACUUUCAGUUGGGAGGUAGGCGUUGAUGCUAAUAUCAUCAACGAUUGACGUUACCAACAGAAGAAGCACCGGCUAACUCCGUGCCAGCAGCCGCGGUAAUACGGAGGGUGCAAGCGUUAAUCGGGAUUACUGGGCGUAAAGCGCACGCAGGCGGUUGAUUAAGUUAGAUGUGAAAUCCCCGGGCUUAACCUGGGAAUGGCAUCUAAGACUGGUCAGCUAGAGUCUUGUAGAGGGGGGUAGAAUUCCAUGUGUAGCGGUGAAAUGCGCAGAGAUGUGGAGGAAUACCGGUGGCGAAGGCGGCCCCCCGGACAAAGACUGACACUCAGGUGCGAAAGCGUGGGGAGCAAACAGGAUUAGAUACCCUUGUAGUC
rnacentral:rRNA from 1 species